rnacentral:misc_RNA from 1 species
GUCACAGGACUUGCCAUGUCAAGAGUAAAUGGCUUCUCAUGUUACUUCUCUUUACAAGAUCCUACGUGAAAUUGAUUAAGUGCUUAUUUAGUUAAGUGUAUCACUUGUUUGAAGUUCUUCCAUUCCACAAGCACUCAGAUUGCUCUGAUUUGAAAAUGAAUUAAUUGUGUGCCAGUGUUAUGUCUGGGGAGGUUCUGUGGUCUAUAUUCUUUUUUGCAGAUGUUUAUACAAGUAUUUAAUGGUGAAAAGUUUCAUUUUAUUGCAGUCUACUAACAAGAAAGUUGUGAAA